rnacentral:tRNA from 1 species
GUCCGCGUAGCUCAAUUGGAUAGAGCGUCGGCCUCCGAAGCCGAAGGUUGGAGGUUCGAGCCCUCCCGCGGAUG